CCAUUAAAGCGGUACGCGAGCUGGGUUUAGAACGUCGUGAGACAGUUCGGUCCCUAUCCGCUGUGCGCGUAGGAAUAUUGAGAAGGGCUGUCCCUAGUACGAGAGGACCGGGACGGACGAACCUCUGGUGUGCCAGUUGUUCUGCCAAGGGCAUGGCUGGUUGGCUACGUUCGGAAAGGAUAACCGCUGAAAGCAUCUAAGCGGGAAGCCUGCUUCGAGAUGAGUAUUCCCACCCUCUUGAAGGGUUAAGGCUCCCAGUAGACGACUGGGUUGAUAGGCCAGAUGUGGAAGCCCGGUAACGGGUGGAGCUGACUGGUACUAAUAGGCCGAGGGCUUGUCCUCAGUUG
rnacentral:rRNA from 1 species